AUACGGAGGGUGCGAGCGUUAAUCGGAUUUACUGGGCGUAAAGCGUGCGUAGGCGGUUUGCUAAGUCAGAUGUGAAAGCCCCGGGCUUAACCUGGGAACUGCAUUUGAUACUGGCAGACUAGAGUAUGAUAGAGGGGGGUAGAAUUCCUGGUGUAGCGGUGAAAUGCGUAGAUAUCAGGAGGAAUACCAGUGGCGAAGGCGGCCCCCUGGAUCAAUACUGACGCUGAGGUACGAAAGCGUGGGGAGCGAACAGGAUUAGAAACCCUAGUAGUCC
rnacentral:rRNA from 1 species